rnacentral:rRNA from 1 species
UGGGGAAUCUUGCGCAAUGGGCGAAAGCCUGACGCAGCAACGCCGCGUGGAGGAUGAAGGCCCUUGGGUUGUAAACUCCUGUCGGCUGGGAAGAAAUCGUUCGCGGCUAAUACCCGCGGACGUUGACUGUACCAGCAAAGGAAGCCCCGGCUAACUCUGUGCCAGCAGCCGCGGUAAUACAGAGGGGGCCAGCGUUAUUCGGAAUUAUUGGGCGUAAAGGGCGCGUAGGCGGCCAUGCGUGUCUUCCGUGAAAUCCCUCGGCUCAACCGAGGACGUGCGGAAGAAACUGCAAGGCUCGAGUCCAGAAGAGGGGGGCGGAAUUCCCAGUGUAGCGGUGAAAUGCGUAGAUAUUGGGAGGAACACCGGUGGCGAAGGCGGCCCCCUGGGCUGGUACUGACGCUGAUGCGCGAAAGCGUGGGUAGCAAACGGG